rnacentral:pre_miRNA from 1 species
GCGGGGAGGCCGGAUCCUGGGCUGUGUCCCGGCGCCCUAUGCUCCGGAGCCUGCGCUGUUGGAUUCGCGCUCCCGCCCCGCAGCCCCCU